GUUCUGCAACAUGAAGCACACAGCUGCCCAGCAUGUUUCUGUGGGAAUUACUGAAGAAGAAUUUGAGGAAGGCACAAGAAAUGUGUCAUGCUAUCUGUCUGGAACCCUCUUAGCCUGCAAUACUGACAUUGCCGUUUGCUGUAUACUAGGAUUUUCUCUUGCUGUCCAGGGCCUACACGCACAGGGAAGAAGGAAGAACCAAGGGCUUGGUGAACUCAUUCAGCACAAAAAUUUGGCAUAUGUACACGGCACAAAAUCACUCCUGUGCCUCACAAAUGUCCCAUGUGUAAUGGACUGUGUAAGUUAACUGUAAUGCACUGCACCGUAGAUAUGCGACAGCAGGGGGAGCAACCCUGCUAACUGAAUAUGAACUGCAAAACUGUACUAACUGCAUAUAACUACAACUCCUAGAGACUCUGGGGGCUGGGAGACAAAAGACAGAGGAAGCAGGAAGCAGGAGCAGAACUGAGAAGCAGCAGCAGAGCACAGCUGCAGAGGACAGGGGAAACAUGGGGUCAGAGACUCCAGAGGAGUGAUGGAGCCGGGACUCUUGCAGGACAUGGACAUGUGGACAGCAGUUGAGUGCUCUCAGGACUAGAGGCUGGUUUGGGACACCUCUGGAGGUGUGGGAGGGUACAAGGGUCUUUGAGUGUCUGUACCUUGGUACUACUGUGUGUUGUUACCUGUUCUUGAGUGAAUACACCACAGCGUUACUGUUUGUUAUCUGUUAUUCUGUUUCUAGGUAUAUGUACUUUAAUGUUAAUAUUUAUCUACUUGUAUUUGUUAAUUUCUCCCUAGCCUGUUGGCUUGUGACCCUAAUCCCUAACAUUUUCUGCAUAA